GCUCCAGGUACCUGCCAGAGUGCUCCCCAUGCUGUAAACUAUUGGUCUUUACAGAGAGCUGGGAGAAGGCACUGUUUUUCGCGUUUUACAGAAUAUGCAGAGAGGUUCAGCGACUUGCCCCAGGCCACACAGAGGCACAAAGAUGCAGACCUGUGGUGUCUGCAUCGGGGACGCCUGUAGUGUCGUGAGGGGAAUGGCAUCCACAGAGUUCCCGACAGGUAGACCCAGGACACUUAGGUAAGGUCCCAAGCCGUGUGUCCCAAGGGAUGGGCUUCUUUCCAUCCCUGGCUCGGCCUCUCUCCCGGGAACCAGAGGCGCCCCAGGAGGGAGGCUGAAGGUAAAGCGACACCUGGAUACCAAACAUCCUCAUGGCGACCUUUCUGGAUGAUCAGCCACAAAGCGGAGGUGAGAAAUGGGAGCUGGAGCAGGCAGGGCCAGGCUCCCAGAGCCAACCCCGAGGCUAGGGGAGCAGGGCUAUGGAGUGGCACAGUGGCCCCGGCCACAGAAGGGCAGGCAUAGGUGUUUCCUGCACAGCCUCACUCCAUGUCUUGGGAGGGGUAUCAGAGAGGGUAGAGACUGGAAAAGGACUGUGAGGAAAUUCACAAGCUCAUUGUGACUGGGAGAGCCCCGCGGGACAACACCCAGCAUGUCAGGGAUGCACUGGAGCCGUGGCCCCAGAAAUCUGGAAACGAACCCUCGAUUCCGGACAACCAGGGCUGGCUCUGAGGUGCAGCACUGAGCAAGGCUGGUGACUCCUGCGUGCCCAGAGCUCAUGCUGCAGCGGAGGUGACAUGGCACCUGGGUAUGUGACAGCCUCCAUGUGGUGACGGGAGGGCACCUGCUGGCACCUCCCCCUCCGGGGCCAGUGUGACGUGUGAACAGGUCCCUGUGUCCCAGCAGCAAGCAGGUCCUGGUCCACACACGGACGACUGAAGGACUGCACUUCUGAAGUGGGGGACAGGGAGGGGAGGGGCAGGAGAGGAAGGAAGAGGAGGAGCUGCUGGACUUCUGACUUUUUUUAUGGCUUUGCCCAGCAAGGAAGUCUGGAAUUCACAUUAACAUAAACUAUAAACGCAGAAUCAGUUGAUGAGGACAGUUAGUGAGGAGAUGGUCUUUUGGGGAUAAAAUCUGGCAGGAUUGCUGACCUGGACUCUGUCAUCUAAAGUUCUCACACAAAUGACCAUUACGUUGUGAUGCAUGAAACAAGUAACUUAAUAUGUAUUUUUGUCUGAGUAUAAAAUCAUUGUGUUCACUUUGGAAAAUAUAGAAAAUAAAAAUAAAAUAUACUUUAACAGCA
rnacentral:lncRNA from 10 species